UACGGAGGGUGCAAGCGUUAUCCGGAUUCACUGGGUUUAAAGGGUGCGUAGGUGGGCCUGUAAGUCAGCGGUGAAAUCUCCGGGCUUAACCCGGAAACUGCCAUUGAUACUAUAGGUCUUGAAUUAUCUGGAGGUAAGCGGAAUAUGUCAUGUAGCGGUGAAAUGCUUAGAUAUGACAUAGAACACCAAUUGCGAAGGCAGCUUACUACGGAUAUAUUGACACUGAGGCACGAAAGCGUUGGGGAUCAAAACAGG
rnacentral:rRNA from 1 species